rnacentral:rRNA from 1 species
CACGUAGGCGGAUGUGUCAGUCAGGGGUGAAAUCCCGGAGCUCAACUUCGGAACUGCCUUUGAUACAGCACGUCUUGAGUCCGGAAGAGGUGGGUGGAAUUCCUAGUGUAGAGGUGAAAUUCGUAGAUAUUAGGAAGAACACCGGUGGCGAAGGCGGCCCACUGGUCCGGUACUGACGCUGAGGUGCGAAAGCGUGGGGAGCAAACA